AUUUUCCUUCUCUCAAAUGUUUUAGAUUAUUUUAUGUGCUGACUUUUGGGUCUUUGAUUUUCUCUUGCUACUUUUGUUUUUAAUUUGUGUUUUUCCUCUGCUUUCUCAACCAUGCAUGUGUUUCGGUCUCAUUUAAAAUAAUAUUUUAGGGUCUAAUUUCUCUAACUUGCAUGUGUUAGCUAGGAUUUUAAAUAAAUAGUACUAGAAGUUAAGACUUGCCCUCUAAUUUUAUGAUGUGUUUCGUAGUGCAGAUUUUGCUAUUAUUGAGCAGAGUAGUAAUUUGUUGUUGUGAUACUGUGCUGGAGUGAAUGUCGUGGUUUUAAACAACAAUGGAGUCUUAAUCUUUUAUUGUUAAAGCUUCAACUAGAUAUUUUUUGGCAAGGUAACAAUCACCCGUUCUACUCACUCGUUGGAUUCCUAAUUUCAAAAUUUUCUCUAACUUUGUUUUUAGUCGGAAAGAUUGUGCAUAUUUCUGUUCCAGAUCGAAUAACUGAAAAGAGAAUUUGCAAUUUCUUGAGGGUAAGAAUAGGGGUGUACCAAAGAAAGCUCAUCUUAGGUGUUCAAUAUUUAUGAAGAGAGAUGUAUAUAGGAGGGUCAGUUCUUUAAGGUUUCACGAAGAACUUCGUAGAGGCAUGUCGCUACGCGUGUUUGGUAGAGCUAUUCACGUAUUUUAUAUCACCAUAUGAGACACAAGUUUGGAUUUUCCCCCUUAUUUUGGAUUAAAGUUGAGGUGUGCAUUUUUUAUAUGGUAAGUCGAGCUGUUGGUAAGCUCAGUUACUUUUUAAAUUUUGUUUAUACCUUUGAAAUUCUGAGGAGAUAUGAAGCUCAAAGAGAACAUGACUAACCAUAGUAAUGGUUAACAUGAUAGACUAACAGUCAAAUGUAGUUAUAGAAUAUAACGGAUUUGGAUCUUGUGUGUGCAAAUUAUAGUCUGAUUAUUUUAGCACCGUAGUAUUUAAUUUCAAAGGGUAGGAAGGUUAAGUUGUUGACCUAACCAAUCCUGCUAAUCUUUUCCAGCUUCUCACUAGAGUAGAAAGAAGAGGAAAGAGGAUAAAUUUAUGACACAGUAACUUCAGUUGCUCACUAACUGAAUAAAAGAAAGAAAAAUUCAUACCAAUUAUAUUGGCAACUGAUAAUUUAUUUCCAUCAUGUUAAGCUGCCUAGCUUUUGGUCAAAUUCAUCUUGUUUACAAACAAGUUUAUGUAUGCUAGUUUUUUAUUACAUAAAUUAAUUACUAUGAGCUACCAUACAUCGUUUGAUUAAUUUAUAUAUAAUUCUAGACAUUCAUAAGGUACUUUUACCUUGUAAUAUUGAUUUGAUUAGGGGUUGUUGUCAUAGUUUUGAGACACAUUUAUUGCUUCUUGUUCAUAUAUUUAGUUGUUCUUAAGCAGAGUGAAAUUUAUCUGUUGCCAGAGAUGAGGAUAUUUCGAAAGACAAUUUGGAGAAGUUGCAAUGUUGGAGAGACUCAUUUAGUCAAGUAGGCAAAAUAAUAGAAGGCAAUUUACAAGUGUUAUGACGUGUACAAGUCUCUCUGUCUUUUCCUCUUUAGUUUUCUCUGUUGACAAGUUCUCUGAAAAGUAAAUGGAUUUUGUGUAACCAUGAUGUUUCAAAAUUGUUUCUUCUUUUUUCUUUCCGUGAAUGAGUUUAUUGGUUGAAAAAACAAUGGUAACAAGUGUUGUUGAAAAUACUAUCCCUCCUUGCUAGUUAAAAAAAUAAAAAAUAAAAAAAGAACGGAAAACAAUCAAGUCUAAGAGGGACGGAGAAAACACACAAAGAAAGGUUGUUACUAUAUUGAAAAAUAUUUUUCAAGUUCACACAAUGAAGGCUGUAUAGGAUUUUAGGGAAGCAGAAUAAUAUCUAGCUGUACAAUCUCUUGAACUCUUCUUCUUGGGCACAUUUAACAAAUUCUAGCUGCAUUGUGAUUCAAAUUAGUGGAUCUAUUGUAUUUAAGAAUUGACCCUUUAAUGUGUCAACAAA